rnacentral:rRNA from 1 species
CCUACGGGUGGCUGCAGUGGGGAAUAUUGCACAAUGGGCGCAAGCCUGAUGCAGCCAUGCCGCGUGUGUGAAGAAGGCCUUCGGGUUGUAAAGCACUUUCAGCGGGGAGGAAGGCGUUAAGGUUAAUAACCUUGGCGAUUGACGUUACCCGCAGAAGAAGCACCGGCUAACUCCGUGCCAGCAGCCGCGGUAAUACGGAGGGUGCAAGCGUUAAUCGGAAUUACUGGGCGUAAAGCGCACGCAGGCGGUCUGUCAAGUCGGAUGUGAAAUCCCGGGGCUCAACCUGGGAACUGCAUUCGAAACUGGCAGGCUAGAGUCUUGUAGAGGGGGGUAGAAUUCCAGGUGUAGCGGUGAAAUGCGUAGAGAUCUGGAGGAAUACCGGUGGCGAAGGCGGCCCCCUGGACAAAGACUGACGCUCAGGUGCGAAAGCGUGGGGAGCAAACAGGAUUAGAUACCCGGGUAGUC